rnacentral:rRNA from 1 species
CGCCUAACACAUGCAAGUCGCGCGAACCUUCGGGUUAGCGGCGAACGGCUGCGUAACACGUUGGAACCUGCCCCGGACUCAGGGAUAACCUCGCGAAAGCGAGGCUAAUACCGGAUGGCCCCGCAAGGGUAAAGCUUUUGCGGUCCGGGAGGGGCCUGCGGCCUAUCAGCUUGUUGGUAAGGUAAUGGCUUACCAAGGCUAUGACGGGUAGCUGGUCUGAGAGGACGACCAGCCAGAAUGGGACUGAGACACGGCCCAUACUCC